rnacentral:rRNA from 1 species
CCUACGGGAGGCUGCAGUGGGGAAUAUUGGACAAUGGGGGGAACCCUGAUCCAGCCAUGCCGCGUGUGUGAAGAAGGCCCUCGGGUUGUAAAGCACUUUCAGUGAGGAAGAACGCCUGGUGGUUAAUACCCAUCAGGAAAGACAUCACUCACAGAAAAAGCACCGGCUAACUCCGUGCCAGCAGCCGCGGUAAUACGGAGGGUGCGAGCGUUAAUCGGAAUUACUGGGCGUAAAGCGCGCGUAGGUGGCUUGAUAAGCCGGUUGUGAAAGCCCCGGGCUCAACCUGGGAACGGCAUCCGGAACUGUCAAGCUAGAGUGCAGGAGAGGAAGGUAGAAUUCCCGGUGUAGCGGUGAAAUGCGUAGAGAUCGGGAGGAAUACCAGUGGCGAAGGCGGCCUUCUGGACUGACACUGACACUGAGGUGCGAAAGCGUGGGUAGCAAACAGGAUUAGAUACCCUGGUAGUC